GCUCUUGUAGUUCAAUGGAUAGAACAAGAGACUCCUAAGCUCUAGAUAGUGGUUCGAUUCCACUCAAGAGCA
rnacentral:tRNA from 4 species